UGCUGGUCAGAGUGCAGCGGUGUUUACUACUAAUUGAUCACAACCAGUUCCUUCGCCAACCCACUGCUUCACUUGACUAGCCUUUA
rnacentral:Y_RNA from 1 species